AACGAACGCUGGCGGCAGGCCUAACACAUGCAAGUCGAGCGCCCCGCAAGGGGAGCGGCGGACGGGUGAGUAACACGUGGGAAUUUUCCUCAAGGUACGGAACAACUCAGGGAAACUUGGGCUAAUACCGUAUGAUGCAGAGAUGCCAAAGAUUUAUCGCCUUGGGAUAAGCCCCGCGUCAGAUUAGGUAGUUGGUGAGGUAACGGCUCACCAAGCCUGUGAUCUGUAGCUGGCUGAGAGGACGAUCAGCCACAUUGGGACUGAGACACGGCCCAAACUCCUACGGGAGGCAGCAGUGGGGAAUCUUGCGCAAUGGGCGAAAGCCUGACGCAGCCAUGCCGCGUGAAUGAUGAAGGUCUUAGGAUUGUAAAGUUCUUUCGCCUGUGACGAUGAUGACGGUAACAGGAGAAGAA
rnacentral:rRNA from 1 species